rnacentral:tRNA from 1 species
GGUAAAAUGGCCGAGAUUAGGCGAUAAAUUGUAAAUUUAUUAACAAGAAUUUUCUUUUUUACCA